UAGCUCAGGUGGUUAGAGCGCACCCCUGAUAAGGGUGAGGUCGAUGGUUCGAGUCC
rnacentral:tRNA from 1 species